AUGAAUGAUAAUGUCAACCCUGAUAGCCUCUUUGACGAUGAGUAUUACCUGUUUGCUGGUGAAGGCUCAGAUCCUGAUGACAUGGAGCACGACGAAUUGGAAGACUCAAGUCACAAUACCUAUGUCGACCAUGAUCCAUUGGACUAUGUCUACUCAAACCUCCCAGACCACACACACAUCCUGAAGCACGCCGCAAAUUGCGAUCACUGCAAGGCCAAGAAGUUUGUGUCUGAGGCCCCGGGAUUCUGCUAUCGCAGUGGGCAGAUCCAGCUGAAGCAACCGGAGCCCGUCCCGGAGCUAAUGAGGCUUUGGUCUAGCAUGGAUGCGGACUCAAGGCAUUUUCGGGAGAACAUACGGUUCUUCAACGGCCACUUCUCCUUCACAACCCUCGGCGUCAGCCUUGAUGAAAGCUACACAAACAUGAAGUCUGGGGUGUACACGUUCCGGGCGCACGGCACCAUCUACCACAACGUUCAUUCCUUCGGGCCAACAUCACGUCCAGAUCAUCUACAGUUGUACUUCUACGACGACGACCCAGGCCUAACCCAUCGCAAGGCUGCCACCGAGCAAUUAGACCAAGAUGUCGUUAGAAAGUUAGUGGACAUACUCAGGGAAAACCCGUACUCCCAGUAG
rnacentral:rRNA from 1 species